UUUCAUUAGGAUGAUGGUUUU
ensembl:piRNA 21ur-5337 ncRNA